GAAACCGCCCAGAGGUAAACGGGUGGAUCCGCAAAGUCGGCCCGCGGAAUUCAGCGUGUGCUGAGCGGGGCUGAUCUUGGUGGGGAUCUUCGGACCCUGCUUUGGUCUCUUGGCCCGGCUUACGCCGCGUGCACUUUCCGCGGGCAGAGCGCUACGACCGGUUUCGCGGCGGCGACAAGCCCGAUCGGAUGCGUGGCACGAUCUCACGGUCGUGCUUCGGCCGGUCGAGGUGAGCCGCUGUCGGGACCGAGGAACGGCCGCACGCUUCGUGGCUGCCCGGCCUCGCGGGGGAGUUCGACUGGCAGGGACUGGGUAACCGUGCCUGCCGACCGCUCCUCCGUGUCGGAUCGGGACAGCCGGGCGUGUCAGGGGGUCGGUGGCGAGUCUGUCGGCAUUCCACCCGACC
rnacentral:rRNA from 1 species